rnacentral:piRNA from 1 species
UGCCAACUCGGCCAAAGGCUAAGCCAGC